GACGAACGCUGGCGGCGUGCCUAAUACAUGCAAGUAGAACGCAGAGUGUAUACCGUAGCUCUCUCCACCAUAGACUGUGAGGUGCGAACGGGUGAGUAACGCGUAGGUAACCUGCGGGGUAGCGGGGGAUAACUCUUGGGAACGAACGCUAAUACCGCAGAAGUUUCAUUAUUUCAUGAUAAUAGAUGCAAAUAUGCUAUUGCAUCACUACCAGAUGUACUUGCGUUGUAUUAGCUAGUAGGUGAGGUAACGGCGCACCUAGGCGACGAUACAUAGCCGACCUGAGAGGGUGAUCGGCCACACUGGGACUGAGACACGGCCCAGACUCCUACGGGAGGCAGCAGUAGGGAAUCUUCGGCAAUGGACGGAAGUCUGACCGAGCAACGCCGCGUGAGUGAAGAAGGUUUUCGGAUCGUAAAGCUCUGUUGUAAGAGAAGAACGGGUGUGAGAGUGGAAAGUUCACACUGUGACGGUAUCUUACCAGAAAGGGACGGCUAACUACGUG
rnacentral:rRNA from 1 species